rnacentral:lncRNA from 1 species
CGGACAGCAUUAACAGGAAUCAAUCAUAAUAAAUCAGAGACGGUAGGCAACUACCGCAGAUUACUAAACGCGAAAGCUAAGCAAGGCGGAUGUUAUGCAAAGUAAAACCCCACCCUUCCACUCACGACAUCUUGUGAAAAUUUGGGUACAUCGUUCUUCAUUUGUAAGCUCAUCAUAAGAAAGUCUUUCAUCGUACAUCUGAACUCAAAAUGGAUUAGUCUCCAUACUGCAAUGUAAGUAGAAUUAUGUGGCCAACUAGGAGCUAGGGAAGGUCGAAAGAGCUCUCUAAAGAGAAAAGAGUUGUACAUGGGUCUUUCAACGGAGCAUUUCUUUUAGGUAGACAAGUAUAGAGACAAAAUGUACCGCCAAAUUAUAUCUGUAGGAGUUAUAGAGAAGAGAAAGAAUAUGAGACCUUAUGGCACUUCCUUUGCGAAUGCCGCACACUUUGAUGGAGUAGGCUAAGAUCUAUAGAGCCGGCAACCUUUGGAGGCUUAAGCGAAAUAGCGAAUGCAAAGUUACGUCGACUGCACUGUUUUGGUAACUCGUCACAGAGCCUUAUUUAGUUUAAUUCUGGAGAAUACAAUAUGGGCCGCGGAACUACAAGAAGAUUUUUUCUAAAACCGAACUUACAUCAUUUUUACUUUAAACAGUUCGUUUACUCAAAUGCAAACAUAUUUUCAUAUGCAUUUAAGUGGCGCUUAUCAGUGAAAAAAUUCAUGUCCUAAUACGUGUACGCACAUACACAUAGUAUUCCCAUCUAAAUAUAUUAGAGCUUAGCACUUUUUAAUCAAUAAUGAAUCAAUAGGAAAACGCCAGAAGUCAAGAGGGUCAGAGACUCAAGUACUGCAACACUAUUGUUUGUAUUUUACUAUUUUUAUUAUUUGUUGUUAUUAAGUAUUGUUUUAAAGAUUUCAUAUAUUUUCCAUUUUAUGGCGUGAUUUUAAGUAUUAGGUAUGAUUAGGGAGCCGUGUAUUGUUGUUGUUGUUGUUGCGUCACUAAUCUCAUAAAAUAUUCCUAACAAAGGUUUGAAAAGUGGUAAUCUUGAAAUAUUGAGUGUUUAUUCCAAUAAAUUAUGUUUUAAAAUUUAUCACAGUUGUGCAAUAUUAAAAUUAAAAUUUUCGAGUGUAAUUUUCCGGCGCUGAGAGAGAGAGAUAAGCGUUUUUGGGGCAGCAUGUCGAUAUUGAACACUCAAUUGUUUUAUUUUUUAUUUUAGUCGUAUGUAAAACCGAAGAGCUCUCAAACUGUCAGCUAUUGCAGAGGAUACAUAAGAAAGAAGAUGAAGAAAUCCAAAUGACUCAGACGUUAACGGUAGCAUAUAUAUACAUAUACAGACCGUUUAGCAGAUUUAUUAAAAAAAAUAUUUUAGAAGAGAAAAUAUUCCAAUUAAUGCAGCAUUCCCAAGCUCUAACGAGUUUAAGGCAAAGCUUUACAUUUGCAUAUGCAUAUGUAAAUAUGCAUCCACUGUCACUUGCUUUGAAGUGAUUGCCCAUAAAAUCGUUGAUAAUUCUCUGCACGUUGACACGCGCCUUCGACGCGCAAAAAAAAAAAA